rnacentral:lncRNA from 1 species
UAAUCCUUUUAUUGUCUUUUUGCAUAGGUGGCCAUUAAAUUAAUCCCAAAACAGGAGGAAGACCGAUUCUUCAAAAGCUCUCGUGAUUCCAGGUCUAUUCCAAUAGAAGUGGCCCUGAUGCAACAGAUGAGCGAGCCACCUGUUAAAAACAUAAUUCAACUCAUCGAGUGGUUCAAUGAGCCUGAGCGCUAUAUUUUGAUCCUGGAGCGUUUUUUUUCUUGCAUGGGCCUGAAUGACUUCAUUCAAACCUACGGAGGAUCUCUCAGUGAACAGAUGGCAAGAAAUUUAAUGAUACAGGUAGUGAAGGUAAGUGAUUGAGUGCCAGAAGCGAGGUGUCUUCCACAGAGACAUCAAAGUGGAUAACAUUUUGAUCAACACGGACACUUUGAAGCUCAAACUGAUCGACUUCGGCUGUGGUGAUUUGAUCAGAAGAUGCGGAUAUAGUUAUUUUGACGGCACUUUGGAAUACUGCCCCCAGAGUUUUUUGCGCCAUUCCUACAACCGUAUGGUCUUUAGGGGUGAUGCUGUUCCAGGUUGUCAGUGCAUCCUUUCCAUUUAAAGAUGAGGACGAGAUCCUUGGUGGUCAGCUCAACUUUAAAGAUGGCCUAUCAGAUGAAUUCCAUGAACUGGUUAGGUGGUGUCUGCAGGCCCAGCCAUCCUCAAGACCUAAUUUGCAGCAGAUCUUGGAUCACAAGUGGUUCAAGUCCAGCUUCCCUGCCCAGGAACGGUUUUGCCAGUUUUUAUAGAGAAGAAAAAGUAAACGGCAAUCACUACAGCGGACAAAAAUAUGAAAUGCAAUGCACACAUGACAUACAUUUUUUCAUAGAAACAUGCACAAAAUAUGUGCCAAAAUGAAAAGCAAAAACAACUGUCACGUUGCAGUACUCUAUAUACACUUUAAAUUUACAUUUUCUUUUAUACAGAGUAACUGGACCAUAGUAGUUCUAGUUCACAAGAGCUGAGCUCCGGUAGAGUAAUUUGAUGGAAAUGUAAAUGGUUCUGUAUGUAAAAUACAUGGACUGCAGGUUUACUGUUAAAAUAAAUGAAAUCAUAGUGUUCCUGUUUUUAUACA